GAUAGAGCAUUAGCCUUCCAAGCUGAGGGUCGCGGGUUUGAGUCCCGUCUUCCGCU
rnacentral:tRNA from 1 species